rnacentral:sRNA from 1 species
GGCUGCUGGGAGGUGGUGGAGCUGCAACCGGGAGUGGAAGAGGGAGGGGGAGAUAAUCGUCUCAUCCGUGUUGAGGUUUCUCAUUGACUACUCAUCUGGGUUCCAUUUUUGACUUUUCAAUUUCUUUCGUCAGGGUGUACCUUCUACAAGACGGCAUGAUGCAUAUCACAUAAAAAGGCGUUAACGGAGCGACCUUCAAUUCUUGUCUUUCAAUUCCUUCCCUCAUUUUUGUGUAUGUAUGUCUUGGUGGGUUAUGCUAAUAUGAAUACGAAAUACAUACUAUUUUAUAGAUAUAUAUUCCGACUCUCGAACGCCCUCUUAGCUUUGCUUAUAACCUUGAUUUUGUGAAAAAAGAG